UAAAUUAAUGUUAGGGUUACUUUAUUCCCCUACAACCUUAAAAAACACAUUUUGCCUCCGAAAAGGUCCUCAUAUCCCUCGCAGACCCUUAAAUUGGUGCGAGAUAUAUGUUAGGGUUAGGGUUAGGUUUUGAAGAGCUUGUUUGCUCAGUAUACAUUCGCUGUGAUUUAGCAUUUCUAUUCAAGGAUUUCAUUUGAUUCGCUGUGUCUGAAGCGCAGGGUUCAGAGGGUUUCUUGUGCGUUUGUCAAUAUUCUUCGAAUGAUGCGGAGAUGGGCGAAAUUUGAUGGUCCACUUCUUGCUUUGCCACAGUGGCUGUAGCUACACUAAUCAUUUCAUAGAAGCAUAUGGCCGUGCGCGAUUUCUCAUUUGCUCAUGGUUACCGCGUUUCUUACAUUUUUAGUUUAACUUUCUUUUCACAUUGAAGGACAGAGUGGAGAGGCAGAUUUUUUUCUGCUGCCUUCCCUUAGUUAUCCUUCGGACAGAGAAAAAUUUGUUAGCCUUGUGAAAACAUUGCUAACAUGUCACUAUCCAAGCAGACCGUUUAUCUCAUUACAUUGUGGUUGGUCUGUGUCAAAUGGUGCCCACAUUUUAUAUUUCCUUUGAUAAAUCCUCAGGGGUGGGAUCGCAGUGAUUCAAUCGUAUUUUAGGGUUACUUUCGAAUUUUGUUUUUUAACGUGUUCUUGUAUUUUGGAUCUUACACAAUUUAGUGCUGCAUGGUUGAGGUAAUGGAUCGAUUUGCAUUUUUGCCUUCAAUUUUUAACAUAGCAUUUUCUUGUAAUUUAGCUGUUUUCCCAACCUGCUGGAUAACCUAGUUGUAUGUGGUAUCUGAUGUGAAUCUUUCUCAUCAGAUCUAAAGAAAUUAUAAAACUGCGUGCACCCAAAAUGUUGCAUAGAAAUUAUUUUCAUUCAUUUAUGCAAGCUAGAGCUACAUAUGAGUUGCCAUUUGGCACUCCUAAUCACCGAAAUUCAUCCAAUGUGAUAGGAAACCAAAAUUAGCCUUAUUUUUAUCAGUCUCGCAAUUUCCAGGCCAGCGGAUUCAGUGCCAUAAAUAUAAAUGAUGGAUCAUUAUUCUGA